rnacentral:rRNA from 1 species
UACGUAGGGACCAAGCGUUGUUCGGAUUUACUGGGCGUAAAGGGCGCGUAGGCGGCCAGCACAAGUCAGUUGUGAAAUCUCCGAGCUUAACUCGGAAAGGUCAACUGAUACUGUGCGGCUAGAGUGCAGAAGGGGCAACUGGAAUUCUUGGUGUAGCGGUGAAAUGCGUAGAUAUCAGGAAGAACACCCGUGGCUAAGGCGGCUCUCUAGUACGGUACUGACGCUGAGACGCGAAAGCGUGGGGAGCGAACAGG